rnacentral:rRNA from 1 species
UACGUAGGGGGCAAGCGUUGUCCGGAAUCAUUGGGCGUAAAGCGCGUGUAGGCGGCCAAGUAAGUCCGUUCUGAAAGCCCGGGGCUCAACCCCGGGAGGCGGAUGGAUACUGCUUGGCUCGAGUCCGGAAGAGGCGAGUGGAAUUCUCGGUGUAGCGGUGAAAUGCGCAGAUAUCGGGAGGAACACCAGUAGCGAAGGCGGCUCGCUGGGCCAUUCCUGACGCUGAGACGCGAAAGCUAGGGGAGCGAACAGG